GGAAAUAAGAAUUUCUGCUUGUAGCUCUGUUGACUUCAGCUGACAUUGCUUCUGUCUCCUCCUUUCUGCAGUAUCCUGGUAUCCCUCAGAAGGUUGUCAGGUAGACAAGUGGCUACUAAUGGCCACACUAAUUUUUGGUAUGUAGGCUGUGUAUCCCUCUCUUAACUUAAUGAGCAUUACAUGCUUUUUCAACAGUUUCCUGGAACUGUUUGGUUUCUAGAAGUCUCUUGAUCCUGCAUUCAAUCUGUACUUUACAUUCAGACUAUCUGUGAAAAAUGUGUCGUUUGCAGGUGCCAUAAAUGAAAUGUACAAUGGUGAAAAAUAUACAAGAGCCAAAUUCUAUUUUAAGGUAUCACCAGUAAAACCCUAUAGAUAUUUUGGGUAAAAAGAAUAAUGUUGUAAGGGUUUUCUAGAGGGAAAGGAUGAAGCUGCUGUGAAAAUGAAACUGCAUCCUUGUUCUUGAUUUUCUUAUGCCUUAUCAUUCCUUAUUAUGCCCUUAACCAGCAAUACGAUGCUUGUCAUGUAGCUUAUUCUGUCCCCUUGCAGCAUGAAUCUGAGAAGUAGGAGAUCCCCUAUUAAGCACAGUCAUUUCAUUAUGACAGCAUCCAGCCCAGAGCCUUCAAUAGAGGACCACAUAAAGCAUCUGUCUGAGCAUUUAGCAAGGAUUUUCUGGAUUACAGCUCAAGCCAACUUCACAUCAGAGAUGAACUGCAUAUCCACAUAUCCCCAGAUGAGAAACCACUUCCAAGUGUGGGAUCCACACUGCAAGUGGCUUGCAUAAUCGAUCCAUUCUUAUAGGAGGAAACUUCAGCAAGAUGAGUUACAGAAGUAACAGCUAUCUGCAGAAGCAACAAAUAACUCUAACCAGUAAAGAUUUUUGCCUUUAAUUUAUUUCAGCCAAGGAAGGGAGGGAGGGAGGAAGGAGAGAAGGAGGUAAAGGGGGAGGGGAGGGCAAGAAGGAAAAGGGGAUAUAUGAAAGAAUGUUAUACCAUUUCUUAGGUGUGAUAUUCAUGUCAAUUAUUUUAAAUCUUAAUUUGCAGGAUCUAUAAUGUUAGGGAAAUAAUCCAGACACCCUUAGCUUCUUUUCUGAAGGAAAUCAUACUUAUGAGCUCAUACUUUUUGUCUGCCUGCCUACCAGUCUGUCUCUUGCCUGUGCCAUUCCUCCCACUCCAUGCUGUAAGCCACUGGUGGAUUUCAGCUCAGUUGAAAGCAAAAAGGAGAACAAAAAAUGCUGUAUAGUUCCUACCAGCUUUGUAAACCAGACAGGAGGGUACAUAAGCAAGACCAGGGAAAGAGCCAUCUCUCAGAUCAGGUGAGGUAACAUCCCAAGUAGAAGAAAGCUUGAGAAUGAUUGUGUUUUGAGACAACCUUCAGCAAGUGUCUGCAGUUACAGUGAGUCCAUAGGAAACCAAGCUCGUCAAGUUCAGUGUUAACUGUGCUGGUUCAAAAAUCCUCCUUCAAAUUCCUGUAUCAUACAGAAAAAUGUAAUGUGUAGAUCUGAUACUGUAAUUCUGUAUUUUGAUGGCAAUGACAUACAUUGUUUUGAAUUCCUUAUCUGUCUCCUACUCUCUUCAUUCCCUUCCUUCCUCUUUUCUCUGCUCAUGGCAUAUUAUCU
ensembl:lncRNA